rnacentral:rRNA from 1 species
UCAGCAUGUGUGUUAGUGGAAGCGUCUGGAAAGGCGCGCGAUACAGGGUGACAGCCCCGUACACAAAAGCGCAUGUGCUGUGAGCUCGAUGAGUAGGGCGGGACACGUGGUAUCCUGUCUGAAUAUGGGGGGACCAUCCUCCAAGGCUAAAUACUCCUGACUGACCGAUAGUGAACCAGUACCGUGAGGGAAAGGCGAAAAGAACCCCGGCGAGGGGAGUGAAAAAGAACCUGAAACCGUGUACGUACAAGCAGUGGGAGCACCCUUUGGGGUGUGACUGCGUACCUUUUGUAUAAUGGGUCAGCGACUUAUAUUCUGUAGCAAGGUUAACCGAAUAGGGGAGCCGGAGGGAAACCGAGUCUUAAUUGGGCGUUAAGUUGCAGGGUAUAGACCCGAAACCCGGUGAUCUAGCCAUGGGCAGGUUGAAGGUUGGGUAACACUAACUGGAGGACCGAACCGACUAAUGUUGAAAAAUUAGCGGAUGACCUGUGGCUGGGGGUGAAAGGCCAAUCAAACCGGGAGAUAGCUGGUUCUCCCCGAAAGCUAUUUAGGUAGCGCCUCGUGAAUUCAUCUCCGGGGGUAGAGCACUGUUUCGGCUAGGGGGCCAUCCCGGCUUACCAACCCGAUGCAAACUGCGAAUACCGGAGAAUGUUAUCACGGGAGACACACGGCGGGUGCUAACGUCCGUCGUGAAGAGGGAAACAACCCAGACCGCCAGCUAAGGUCCCAAAGUCAUGGUUAAGUGGGAAACGAUGUGGGAAGGCCCAGACAGCCAGGAUGUUGGCUUAGAAGCAGCCAUCAUUUAAAGAAAGCGUAAUAGCUCACUGGUCGAGUCGGCCUGCGCGGAAGAUGUAACGGGGCUAAACCAU